rnacentral:lncRNA from 1 species
GAAUUUUUAAAAUCUUGUCUUCUCUCAAGCACCUCACUGAGACCUGAUUCACUGCCCAGUGAAUUAGUCUGUCUUUUGGUUUUAUGGCAACAAGUGGAUGGAGCAGCUUGUUCCUAUCAUUUCCCAGAAGUCCUCUCUUGGUGACCUCUAUCUGGUCUUCAGGCUACUGACUAGCUCACAAUGUCCUUGCCAGUACCAUAUUAGGAAGGAAACAUCUCAUCCCAACAUUACUAAGUCAAAGACCUAUAGCAAAAAGAAGAAAAAUGGAAUGCUCAAGAAAGGGCCUUCAAGAAGAGCUGAAAGGGGAGCUACAGAGCCAGUUUCAUGUAAAGGGUUCCUCAGCUGCCCCUGUACACUGAGUUGUGACCGGUUUGGAUACACCUGGAGUGUCAAUGGCUCUGCAAGAAUGGAGGCUCUGACUCCAUGUAGCUAUGCUGCUGUUAAAAAGCCAUCACUUUAUCAACCUCUGCUGAUGGGGCAAGCGAGUACUGAUUGCAGGCGUCGCAGCGUGGCGUAA